CCUACGGGUGGCUGCAGUGAGGAAUAUUGGUCAAUGGGCGCUACCCUGAACCAGCCACGCAGCGUGAAGGAUGACUGCCCUUUGGGUUGUAAACUUCUUUUAUAUGGGAAUAAAGUGCAGUAUGUAUACUGCUUUGCAUGUACCUUAUGAAUAAGGAUCGGAGAACUCCGUUCCAGCAGCCGCGGUAAUACGGAGGAUACGAGCGUUAUCCGGAAUUAUUGGGUUUAAAGGGAGCGUAGGCGGGUUGUUAAGUGAGGUGUGAAAGUUUGCGGCUCAACCGUAAAAUUGCAGUUGAUACUGGCAUCCUUGAGUACAGUAGAGGUAGGCGGAAUUCGUGGUGUAGCGGUGAAAUGCUUAGAUAUCACGAAGAACUCUGAUUGCGAAGGCAGCCUGCUGGACUGUAACUGACGCUGAUGCUCGAAAGUGUGGGUAUCAAACAGGAUUAGAUACCCGGGUAGUC
rnacentral:rRNA from 1 species